rnacentral:tRNA from 1 species
UGUUCGGAGGCUUAGUUAGUUAGGGCGCCAGACUAGCGAUAUGGAAUCGUGGGUUCAAAUCCCAUCAAGACAA